GGAUUGCCUCAGUAACGGCGAGUGAAGCGGCAACAGCUCAAAUUUGAAAUCUGGCCCUCUCAGGGUCCGAGUUGUAAUUUGUAGAAGAUGCUUUGGGUGUGGCUCCGGUCUAAGUUCCUUGGAACAGGACGUCAUAGAGGGUGAGAAUCCCGUAUGUGACUGGUUGCCUUCGCCCGUGUAAAGCUCUUUCGACGAGUCGAGUUGUUUGGGAAUGCAGCUCAAAAUGGGUGGUAAAUUUCAUCUAAAGCUAAAUAUUGGCCAGAGACCGAUAGCGCACAAGUAGAGUGAUCGAAAGAUGAAAAGCACUUUGGAAAGAGAGUUAAACAGUACGUGAAAUUGUUGAAAGGGAAGCGCUUGCAACCAGACUUGCACGCAGUUAAUCAUCUGGUGUUCUCACCGGUGCACUUUUCUGCGUUCAGGCCAGCAUCGGUUUAGGUGGUGGGAUAAAGGCCUUGGGAAUGUAGCUUCUCUCGGGGAGUGUUAUAGCCCUCGGCGCAAUGCCGCCUACCUGGACCGAGGACCGCGCUUCGGCUAGGAUGCUGGCGUAAUGGUUGUAAGCGACCCGUCUUGAAACACGGACCAAGGAGUCUAACAUCUAUGCGAGUGUUUGGGUGUCAAACCCAUACGCGUAAUGAAAGUGAACGGAGGUGAGAACCCUUAAGGGUGCAUCAUCGACCGAUCCUGAUGUCUUCGGAUGGAUUUGAGUAAGAGCAUAGCUGUUGGGACCCGAAAGAUGGUGAACUAUGCCUGAAUAGGGUGAAGCCAGAGGAAACUCUGGUGGAGGCUCGCAGCGGUUCUGACGUGCAAAUCGAUCGUCAAAUUUGGGUAUAGGGGCGAAAGACUAAUCGA
rnacentral:rRNA from 1 species